CUCCUGAAUAAAUGCUAUAUCUGUAUUUUUAGAUUUCAAAUAUGUCGGAACCUUCCUCCUUUUAGUGGGGUUCCCACAUCCAUUUAUGUUCCAUGAUAUUAUGUUAAUGUACCGGUUAGCCAUCAUUUCUAGACAUGUAAAUACUCUUUGACCUCAGUUCUCUCACCCUGGUUUCAAUAUUAAAUAACCACAUAUUCAAGAGGUUAUUCAGAGUGUUAGGCCUUCUCAGAAAUACUGUCUUAGUGCAGAGAUAAAACAUGAAAAAUAUAAACACAUCCCUGGGUCAAAGAAACCCAGAACUCGGUGCUUCGAUCCCACGUCUUUCCUUAGCCACCUGCAGCACCUUGUCUCGGGCUGAUGAGCGCAGGAAGCGCAUCAGUAUGGUCCUGGGCGGUUGAUUCGGGCCUGGUAUGGGUGCCAAAGAGCGUUGGGCACACUCAGUUUCAAACUUGUUGCCGGAUAGCCCGAGCCCCAGAGAGAUGAUCUUUUCCACAUACUGAAUAACUUUGCCCGUCUCCUCCUUGCCCUCUUUGAGUCCCACCAUUCUUACAUUAUUUCUUCUGCUGAGGUAUUCCAGGUCUUCCACAGUGCUUCCAGUCUUUUAUCACACUUCCCCGUGCUUUCCUCCAUUCGUGUAUUUACGUAUUCCAUGUCUGAUAUCCGUUGUUCUGCCUCUCCCAGCCUCACUUGUAUGCUCCCCACCGCAUCUUCAAGCUCUUUUGUUGUCUCCUUAAUUAAGACAACAUCAGCCACCACCAUCUGAAGAGUAGCACUCAUUUUCCCUAUUUCUUCAAACACUGUCUUAUCGGCAAACACUCCUCCAGGUUUAGGGUCGUUGUCGCAUGUCGCAUGUCGGUGUCGUCGAGGUGUUGGGCUGCUCUGAAGCUAGCUUACUUCUUGUUACCGUACCUUUGAAAAAGUAUGCUUUGCUGUUGAUUGACAUUUGCCGGGAAGGUACAAAUUUUUGGUCGGAAACUGGUAUUAGUUCUGGUCUUUAACACAGGACCUCAAUUUUCAGAUUAAUAAUGAAAUGUAUGUCUCCAAAUUUGCAUAAUUAGCUGAUGGUCGUGAGGACCUCUGCUACUGUGCUGCCACAUCGCUAAUCAACUUUUUAAUAUUCAAUAUGAAUCCACUGCUUCCCAUCUUGCAUUAGUCCAGAGUUGUAACUAAACUUCACUGCCUCGUUUUAAAAUGAUGUUUGAGGAGUGCCCUCACAUCCUGUCUGGACUGGUCAUACAGAUGUUUCUUGCUGGAAUGUGCAAGUUUAAUUACAUGCAAAAAAGAAGCCAGCCCCUAGUGGAGAGGAAGAGGGGAGGAUUAUGCCGGCAGCAAGAGAGUCUUUAAUGUACUGCUCCAUAGACUCUCUCUCCGGACGCGACAGGUUGUAGGGGUGACUUGAAGGGAGAGGCGCGUCCGGGAGGAGGUCUAUGGAGCAGUCGUAGGGGCGGUGGGGGGGUAACGACAGAGCCUGAUUUUAACUGAAAACUAGAGCGAGGUCGUGAUACAGAUGUGGGACACCUGACAGGUCGGGAGGAAGGGGAGGUGGGGUAGGCCGGGGAGGAUUACCGGGGGCUCGAGCUGACAGGAGACAGGACGCAUAACAGGAGGCGCUCCAAUUCCUGAUCUUCCCCCGCGACCAAUCGAUGUUAGGGUUAUGGGUGGCUAACCAGGGGAGCGGCAGGGGAGGUGAUUAGGUGGAAGGCGAGGGACUCGUGGUGGUUCCCGGAUGUGACAAGGGCUAAUGGCGGGGUGCGAUGGGUGACGUGGUGAGGGUGUAGCUGCAAUCAAAGGCAACUCAUGCAUUUCUGUUAAAUAUGGUUCAUAUAUAUUUAUAUUUUAAUUAUGAGGUUAAAAAUCAUAUGAUUGAAAUAUUUCAUGGUCAAUAAAUAAUUUCAUGAUUAUUUAUUUUGUUAAAAACUGAGGAAAAGGGUGGAACUUAUUUUUUUGUUCCGUGCGGAAAUGAUAAUUUGCUACAGGGACGCUGUAUGGGUACACUCACUAAGAUCUAGAUGAGAGAAAUGUGCUGCAGUUUUCUCAAAAGCCAUGGAAGAUUGUUAAGGUUAUCCAUAAGUUUUGUCGUCGUGGAUUGAAGACUAAUAACCUAAGUUUACCCUCUCGGGUUCAUGUGGCCAAUGAGGUCUGUACCAUAACAUCAUUGGAAUUGGUGGUUUUGUCUGUGCUCGGCGGGGGAUUGGUGGCUGCGGUUCCAGCUGUUGGCAAAUGAUUUGUUGCUCCCUGACAGCUUGCUAUUUAGGCAGAGAAGAUGGCGGCAGCUGGCACGUGGGGGCAUCUUCCACAUCUCCCAACAGGCUACAGUUUGAUCUAGUUUAAGUAGGUUUAGGCAGCCAGUUCAGUUACUCUUCUUUUUCUCCUGUAUAUAAUAGUUAGGAAGAUCAGUUGUUUGUGGCUGGUUUUCAUUAGUUUUUUUUGAUAGGUUAGUGCUGAUUUCUAGUUAGAGGUGUUUUGUUUGUUAUGUUGGCCUUGGCUCACCCUGAAGUGUAACUUUAUCACCAUUUGUUUCAUUCUGUUAUAAAUAAAUCCACUAUUUAUUAUAUCACCGUA